rnacentral:tRNA from 5 species
CUGGGUGUGGCUCAAUCUGGCUAGAGCACCGGCGUCGGGAGCCGGGGAUUGGGGGUUCGAAUCCCUCCACCCAGACCA